rnacentral:pre_miRNA from 1 species
UCUGCAGUCCGGCACCUUUUCAAGUUUGCACUCCUAUGGCGCUCCGUAUGAAGCAGUGCAAUAUUGAAAAAGGGUACGGGACUGCGGG